rnacentral:misc_RNA from 1 species
GAUGAAGAACGUAGCGAAAUGCGAUAAGUAAUGUGAAUUGCAGAAUUCAGUGAAUCAUCGAAUCUUUGAACGCACCUUGCGCUCCUUGGUAUUCCGAGGAGCAUGCCUGUUUGAGUGUCAUUAAAUUCUCAACCUCACCAACUUUGUUGUGUGAAGGCUUGGAUGUGGGGGUUGCAGGUCCGCACUCGUGUGGUCUGCUCCUCUAAAACGUAUUAGUGGGUUAGUCCCCUAAUCUAUUGGUGUGAUAAUUAUCUACGCCGUGGAUUUGGGAGGCUAUCAUAGACCUGCUUCUAACCGUCCUCUGGACAACUUUGACAAUUUUGACCUCAAAUCAGGUAAGACUACCCGCUGAACUUAAGCAUAUCAAUAAGCGGAGGA